rnacentral:rRNA from 1 species
GCAAGUCGAACGGUAGGAAGUGCUUGCACUUCUUGAGAGUGGCGAACGGGUGAGUAACACGUAGAUGAUCUGCCUUGAAGUUGGGGAUAGCCUAUAGAAAUAUGGGGUAAUACCGAAUACUAUCUUAAGAUUUUGAUUUUUUGAUGAAAGGGGCUUCGGCCUCGCUUUGAGAUGAGUCUGCGGUCUAUUAGCUUGUUGGUAGGGUAAUGGCCUACCAAGGCGACGAUAGAUAGCCGGCCUGAGAGGGUGACC